rnacentral:tRNA from 1 species
GGCGGAAUGCCAGAUGUAAAUGGGUUGCGGUGAUGCUGCAAAAUAUGGGAAUAUUUUCUCUUCCGCUU